CCCUUAGAUGUUCUGGGCUGCACGCGUGUUACAAUCGGGAGUACAACAAGAUUGCAAAUCCUAGUGGAUGAGUGGUUCUUCGAAAUUUUCUGAAGACUGGGAUAGUUGAUUGAAAUUAUUCAACUCGAACGAGGAAUUCCUUGUAAUUGUAAUUCAUUAUAUUGUAAUGAAUACGUCCCUGCCCUUUGUACACACCGCCCGUCGCACCUACCGAUUGAAUGGUCCGGUGAAAUCUUCGGACUGUGACUUUGAUUUGUUAACUCAAAACGCUGUUAUGGGAAGUUGAUUAAACCUUACCAUUUAGAGGAAGGUGAAGUCGUAACA
rnacentral:rRNA from 1 species